GUUUGAUCCUGGCUCAGGAUGAACGCUAGCGGCAGGCCUAACACAUGCAAGUCGAGGGGUAGAAGUCUUCGGACUUUGAGACCGGCGCACGGGUGCGUAACGCGUAUGCAAUCUGCCUUGUACAAGGGGAUAGCCCGGAGAAAUCCGGAUUAAUACCCUAUGGUAUAUUGAUGUGGCAUCACAUUAUUAUUAAAGAUUUAUCGGUACAAGAUGAGCAUGCGUCCCAUUAGCUAGUUGGUAUGGUAACGGCAUACCAAGGCAAUGAUGGGUAGGGGUCCUGAGAGGGAGAUCCCCCACACUGGUACUGAGACACGGACCAGACUCCUACGGGAGGCAGCAGUGAGGAAUAUUGGUCAAUGGGCGCAAGCCUGAACCAGCCAUGCCGCGUGCAGGAUGACGGUCCUAUGGAUUGUAAACUGCUUUUGUACGGGAAGAAACAGCUCUUCGUGAAGAGCCUUGACGGUACCGUAAGAAUAAGGAUCGGCUAACUCCGUGCCAGCAGCCGCGGUAAUACGGAGGAUCCAAGCGUUAUCCGGAAUCAUUGGGUUUAAAGGGUCCGUAGGCGGCUUUAUAAGUCAGUGGUGAAAUCCGGCAGCUUAACUGUCGAACUGCCAUUGAUACUGUAGAGCUUGAAUUAUUGUGAAGUAACUAGAAUAUGUAGUGUAGCGGUGAAAUGCUUAGAUAUUACAUGGAAUACCAAUUGCGAAGGCAGGUUACUAGCAAUAGAUUGACGCUGAUGGACGAAAGCGUGUGUAGCGAACAGGAUUAGAUACCCUGGUAGUCCACGCCCUAAACGAUGUCAACUAGCUGUUGGGGCCUUCGGGCCUUGGUAGCGCACCUAACGCGUGAAGUUGACCGCCUGGGGAGUACGGUCGCAAGAUUAUAACUCAAGGAGUUGAUGGGGGACCGCACAAGCGGUGAUGAUGUGCAUUAUUUCAUGCACGCGAGAAGCUACUACCCUUGACUGUCUGGAAUUCGAUCAGAUCUGAUAUGAUCGCCGGAGACGAGAAACAGAACUUCCGUAGCCCUAUGCUUACUCUCGCCUGGACGUUGAAUGAUAAUCUUCAUCACAGAGACAAUACACUUAGCUGUAUACUGACAUCAAUGAGCAUCAGCACUCAGCUCGCCAGUCGUGUGGAAGCGUCAGCUGUGACGUACUGGAGAUAAGAUACUAGCGUACU
rnacentral:rRNA from 1 species